rnacentral:misc_RNA from 1 species
ACAAACUUGGUCAUUUAGAGGAAGUAAAAGUCGUAACAAGGUUUCCGUAGGUGAACCUGCGGAAGGAUCAUUAAAGAUUCGGCCCUCGGGCCAAACCUCUCCAGCUGUGCGCUUCGGCUGCACGCUGUUGAACCUCACACACCUGUGAACAUUCCGGUCGUGAGCCACCUCAUAAGUGUCUCACCUCCGCCUUUACAUAAAACUACCAAGUCUAGAAUGUAAAAACUAUAAAGUAACAACUUUCAACAACGGAUCUCUUGGCUCUCGCAUCGAUGAAGAACGCAGC